rnacentral:rRNA from 1 species
GACGAACGCUGGCGGUGUGCUUCACACAUGCAAGUCGAACGAGGUAGCAAUACCUAGUGGCGGACGGGUGAGUAACGCGUGGGAAUCUGCCUUUAGAUGGGGAUAACGGGCCGAAAGGUCCGCUAAUACCGCAUAUGCCGCAAGGUGAAAGGAGUAAUCCGUCUAAAGAUGAGCCCGCGUCCGAUUAGCUAGUUGGUAGAGUAAGAGCCUACCAAGGCGACGAUCGGUAGCUGGUCUGAGAGGAUGAUCAGCCACAAUGGGACUGAGACACGGCCCAU